UUCCGAGCGUCACAGUUCAUUGACCUCCUUUGAUGGGGCAACUUGGCAAAUAUAAAAUUUAUUUUUAAAAAUUAACCAGAAUUUAAUUUUUCAAAUAGUUUAAUUAUUUUAUUUAAAUUUAAUUGAAAUUAAUUAUCAAUAUUCAAAAUAAAUUCACUUUGUGCCUCGUACAACAGAUUAAAAGUUUUUCGAUUAAGUAGAAUAUUUCGAUCACAGAAAGACAUUACACCACAGUCUUGAAGACAUUGAAGAAGGAACAAUUCUCCAAAGGAAAAAAAAAAAUUUGCAGAUCUGCCCGGAAAUUUCGCUUUCAAGACCAUAAGAAAAGAGAAACAGAAAAUGAAGGGGAUGUGCAAGAAUUUUCCGCAAUGCAACCCAUUUUUCGAGAUUUGGAUCAUCUCUUCCUCCUGAAUAAAUAUUGAAGACUUUUUUUAUUAUUCCGCCAGCCAUUGGUGAACGACAAGCAAGGAAGCUUCGAAACCUCGUUCAGUGAUUAGUUCUCAUUAAAUUAAAAUAUUUUUUGUGUUGUAAAUUAUGUAGAUAGGGAUUUCGAAAAAAAUAUGAUUGUAUUAGCUAGGAAAUUAAAAAUUUCGGUAGGUUUAAGGAAAAUAUUAUAUUUUUAAGUAUACAAGAGGAUUCAACAUCAAGCUUUCAACUUUAUAGGAACAUUCAUUCACCGAAAUUUAUGGUCAUCACACUAACUAACAACUGACAAAUUUUUUACUCAGUUCGCAAUAAGAGGUCAAAAGAGGAACAGGAGCAAAAGGAAUGAAUGAAAUAAAAGAAGACUCACAAGAGGAAAAAAAACUAAACUGAGAGAAGGAUUCAUUAUUACUGGAGAAUUUAUAUCUGCUAGAAUCAAGAGAUAUUUUUUUUUGUACAAUACAAAGCGUUCAAUUACAUUUUAAGUUGAACUAAAACAUGUAAUACUAUAUUAUGAUGCAAUAAAUAGAUUGUUGAAAAAUA